CAACCGUGGCGGCGAGCGGCGAACGGGUGAAGUAAUACAUCGGAACGUCGCCCAGACGGUGGGGAUAACUACUCGAAAGAGUGGCUAAUACCCGCAUACGAUCUAAGGAUGAAAGCGGGGAUCGCAAGACCUCGCGCGUUUGGAGCGGCCGAUGGCAGAUUAGGUAGUUGGUGGGGUAAAAGGCUUACCAAGCCCGCGAUCUGUAGCUGGUCUGAGAGGAUGAUCAGCCACACUGGGACUGAGACACGGCCCAGACUCCUACGGGAGGCAGCAGUGGGGAAUUUUGGACAAUGGGCGAAAGCCUGAUCCAGCCAUUCCGCGUGCAGGAUGAAGGCCCUCGGGUUGUAAACUGCUUUUGUACAGAACGAAAAAGCUCUUUCUAAUACAGAGAGUCCAUGACGGUACUGUAAGAAUAAGCACCGGCUAACUACGUG
rnacentral:rRNA from 1 species